AAGAGUGGUAAACAACGGUGUUCAGAGAACUAAUGUUUACUCACAAACUUGCUGCAAAAUGAUUAAAGAUGGUUUCGAGAGUUGCCUGGCUGAUACUGUAUUCUGCUAUGCCCAGUUGAUUUCUAUUUUGCUCCAGGUGUCCAAAAACAUCUGCAAGCGAGAGCCCGUCUCUGUAUGGCAGCUGAUAUUUAACACUCAAACCAUUGCACGCUUGAACUGUAGCACCAGGAAAUGAAGACAGCACAAAUGAAUCAAUAGCUGAAAACUUUUCUUUGGCUAACCACCACUCAGAAAAUAUUGGUAGUGGUAUCCCACCAUCUCGAACCAACUGCUCUGCUAACUGUUCACCAAAAACCCCAUCAGAAACUGGCAUUGAUAAAAGUGUGUGCGCUCUUUCUUCAUUGCCAAGCCAGCGUCCAAUCAACAUUAUUAUUUCUUGGGACAAGCUGAUCUCUGCCACUGAAGCAUUUUCAGAUGUGAUGCAGUCAACUGCUCCAAUGCAAACUUCAAUGUCAUCAAGUAAGCUUCUUGGAUGUGAAGGAAUGUUCAGAAGCCUUUCUUGAAUAAUUUGGCAAAGAUUUUCCAAGUCCACUGAGCUAACCUCAGUGGGUUUAACCUCUAGCUCAAGGUGAUUCCCAAAUCGUGUUUUCAGAUGCUGGGGACUUCCAAUGCAUCUUAAUCUGCCUCCAACCAUUAUUCCAAUACGUGUGCACAGUGCCUGAGCUUCAUUCAUGCUGUGGGUUGUAAGAAUUACAGCCGUCUUUCCUUGUCUAGUGGAUAGACGGGAUAUCACUUCCCACAUGAAUCGUUUGGCAAUAGGAUCCAUACCUGUUGAUGGCUCAUCAAGAAUUACUAUUGGGGGAUCUCCGAUCAUUGCAAUUGCAACAGAUAAUUUGCGCUUGUUUCCCCCACUAAGGGCGAAAGAUGGUUUAUCAGCAUGCCUCAGCAAGUCAAACUCCACCAUCUUUUCUAUGACAAUAUCUUCCAUCCUGUAAUCUGCAACUCCUUUUAUUCUUGCAUAAAGCUCAAGAUGCUCUCUGACAGUUAAGAAUUCCAAUAAAGCAUCAAAUUGGGGGCAAUAUCCAAUAUGCCGACGAACAGCCUUGGGAUUUGAACGUAUAUCUUUGCCAAAAAUAAAGGCAGUUCCAUCAGUUGGAGAUUCUUCUCCAGAUAACAUCGACAGAGUUGUAGUCUUCCCAGCUCCAUUUGUUCCUAAAAAUCCAAAACAUUCUCCUGGUUGAACUGAGAAAGUCAAUGAAUGCACAGCAACUUUCAUGCCAUAUUUUCCUCCAGGAUAUACCUUCUGAAGAUUGCGUAAGUAAAGGAUGGCAUUGUCAACAGAUCCUGAAAGUACUCUGUUUCUUUCUGUUUGCACAUCUAUAUCUUCCUCAAAGUCAACACCAACAACUUCUGACGGAAAUUUUAGAAGAGGUUCAGAAAAUCCUGAAGAACCAUGCCAGAAAUUUUUAAAAUUCCUCCAACAUUGCUUGAUUGUAACUGGAGUUAACUUGUGAGAAGGCAACAGUUCAAACCCAAUUGUCAAGAGAAAGUAAAUAAUGCUCUCAAUGCCAAGGUAACAAAUGGAGGCACCAGUAACAUUCCAAUCAAAAACUGUGUCACUAGAUUUAUCUUUCAUCCCUUGUCGUAGAAGGGCCAGUGAAGCAAGUCCAUCAGCAAAGCAAAACCCAGGUGAUAUUCUGAAGAAAUUCUUGAGAAAGUUAUUUGCACUUCUUGUUGUCUCUAUAAGCCCCAUUAUGAAUGAGAUAACCAUAAGAACCAGUCCGGUGAAGAAGUGGACCAAAAGAACCACAUUCUGAGCCAUGGUGUGAUCAGAAAACAAGAAUGUAAGGCAGUAUGUUGAAGAUGCAAUUGCUAGUCCAUACUCCAAAAAUAUCAGAAGUGUUGGAAAGAAACAAUCCCUUCCAAUAAACUGAUCCAAACCAAAGAUGUAGAAAAGAACUAUUGCGAGAAAUGAAGGAAAUAAGAAGCUGA
rnacentral:misc_RNA from 1 species